UACGUAGGGGGCAAGCGUUGUCCGGAUUUAUUGGGCGUAAAGAGCGUGUAGGCGGCUUUGCAAGUCCGUUGUGAAAACUCGAGGCUCAACCUCGAGACGCCGGUGGAAACUGCAAAGCUAGAGUCCGGAAGAGGAGAGUGGAAUUCCUGGUGUAGCGGUGAAAUGCGCAGAUAUCAGGAAGAACACCCGUGGCGAAGGCGGCUCUCUGGGACGGUACUGACGCUGAGACGCGAAAGCGUGGGGAGCAAACGGG
rnacentral:rRNA from 1 species